rnacentral:rRNA from 1 species
GAGCGACCGGUGCUUGCACUGGUCAAUCUAGUGGCGAACGGGUGAGUAACACGUGGGUAACCUGCCCAUCAGAGGGGGAUAACAUCCGGAAACGGAUGCUAAAACCGCAUAGGUCUUCGAGCCGCAUGGCUUGAAGAGGAAAAGAGGCGCAAGCUUCUGCUGAUGGAUGGACCCGCGGUGCAUUAGCUAGUUGGUGAGGUAACGGCUCACCAAGGCCGUGAUGCAUAGCCGACCUGAGAGGGUGAUCGGCCACAUUGGGACUGAGAUACGGCCCAAACUCCUACGGGAGGCAGCAGUAGGGAAUCUUCCGCAAUGGACGCAAGUCUGACGGAGCAACGCCGCGUGAGUGAAGAAGGUUUUCGGAUCGUAAAACUCUGUUGUUAGAGAAGAACAAGUGCUAGAGUAACUGUUAGCGCCUUGACGGUAUCUAACCAGAAAGCCACGGCUAACUACGUGCCAGCAGCCGCGGUAAUACGUAGGUGGCAAGCGUUGUCCGGAUUUAUUGGGCGUAAAGCGAGCGCAGGCGGUUCCUUAAGUCUGAUGUGAAAGCCCCCGGCUCAACCGGGGAGGGUCAUUGGAAACUGGGGAACUUGAGUGCAGAAGAGGAGAGUGGAAUUCCAUGUGUAGCGGUGAAAUGCGUAGAUAUAUGGAGGAACACCAGUGGCGAAGGCGACUCUCUGGUCUGU